rfam:Salmo salar isolate Sally breed double haploid chromosome ssa05, whole genome shotgun sequence.
UUCCCUGUAGCUCAGUUGGUAGAGCAUGGUGUUUGCAACGCGUUUGCAACGCCAGGGUUGUGGGUUCGAUUCCCAUGGGGGAGC